rnacentral:rRNA from 1 species
GAUGAACGCUGGCGGCGUGCCUAAUACAUGCAAGUCGAGCGAACGGACGAGAAGCUUGCUUCUCUGAUGUUAGCGGCGGACGGGUGAGUAACACGUGGAUAACCUACCUAUAAGACUGGGAUAACUUCGGGAAACCGGAGCUAAUACCGGAUAAUAUUUUGAACCGCAUGGUUCAAAAGUGAAAGACGGUCUUGCUGUCACUUAUAGAUGGAUCCGCGCUGCAUUAGCUAGUUGGUAAGGUAACGGCUUACCAAGGCAACGAUGCAUAGCCGACCUGAGAGGGUGAUCGGCCACACUGGAACUGAGACACGGUCCAGACUCCUACGGGAGGCAGCAGUAGGGAAUCUUCCGCAAUGGGCGAAAGCCUGACGGAGCAACGCCGCGUGAGUGAUGAAGGUCUUCGGAUCGUAAAACUCUGUUAUUAGGGAAGAACAUAUGUGUAAGUAACUGUGCACAUCUUGACGGUACCUAAUCAGAAAGCCACGGCUAACUACGUGCCAGCAGCCGCGGUAAUACGUAGGUGGCAAGCGUUAUCCGGAAUUAUUGGGCGUAAAGCGCGCGUAGGCGGUUUUUUAAGUCUGAUGUGAAAGCCCACGGCUCAACCGUGGAGGGUCAUUGGAAACUGGAAAACUUGAGUGCAGAAGAGGAAAGUGGAAUUCCAUGUGUAGCGGUGAAAUGCGCAGAGAUAUGGAGGAACACCAGUGGCGAAGGCGACUUUCUGGUCUGUAACCGACGCUGAUGUGCGAAAGCGUGGGGAUCAAACAGGAUUAGAUACCCUGGUAGUCCACGCCGUAAACGAUGAGUGCUAAGUGUUAGGGGGUUUCCGCCCCUUAGUGCUGCAGCUAACGCAUUAAGCACUCCGCCUGGGGAGUACGACCGCAAGGUUGAAACUCAAAGGAAUUGACGGGGACCCGCACAAGCGGUGGAGCAUGUGGUUUAAUUCGAAGCAACGCGAAGAACCUUACCAAAUCUUGACAUCCUUUGACAACUCUAGAGAUAGAGCCUUCCCCUUCGGGGGACAAAGUGACAGGUGGUGCAUGGUUGUCGUCAGCUCGUGUCGUGAGAUGUUGGGUUAAGUCCCGCAACGAGCGCAACCCUUAAGCUUAGUUGCCAUCAUUAAGUUGGGCACUCUAAGUUGACUGCCGGUGACAAACCGGAGGAGGGUGGGGAUGACGUCAAAUCAUCAUGCCCCUUAUGAUUUGGGCUACACACGUGCUACAAUGGACAAUACAAAGGGCAGCGAAACCGCGAGGUCAAGCAAAUCCCAUAAAGUUGUUCUCAGUUCGGAUUGUAGUCUGCAACUCGACUACAUGAAGCUGGAAUCGCUAGUAAUCGUAGAUCAGCAUGCUACGGUAAAUACGUUCCCGGGUCU